rnacentral:rRNA from 1 species
UACGUAGGGCGCAAGCGUUUGUCCGGAAUUAUUGGGCGUAAAGAGCUCGUAGGCGGCUUGUCACGUCGGUUGUGAAAGCCCGGGGCUUAACCCCGGGUCUGCAGUCGAUACGGGCAGGCGUAGAGUGUGGUAGGGGGAGAUCGGAAUUCCUGGUGUAGCGGUGAAAUGCGCAGAUAUCAGGAGGAACACCAAUAGCGAAGGCAGCUCGCUGGGACGUUACUGACACUGAGGCGCGAAAGCGUGGGGGAGCGAACAGG